UACGUAGGGGACUAGCGUUGUCCGGAAUCAUUGGGCGUAAAGCGCGUGUAGGCGGUCCGGUAAGUCCGCUGUGAAAGUCGGGGGCUCAACCCUCGGAUGCCGGUGGAUACUGUCGGGCUUGAGUACGGAAGAGGCGAGUGGAAUUCCUGGUGUAGCGGUGAAAUGCGCAGAUAUUGGGAGGAACACCGGUGGCGAAGGCGGCUCUCUGGACCGGUACUGACGCUGAGACGCGAAAGCUAGGGGAGCAAACGGG
rnacentral:rRNA from 1 species